rnacentral:rRNA from 1 species
GACGAACCGUGCGAACGUUGUUCGGAAUAACUGGGCUUAAAGGGUGCGUAGGCGGGUCCGCCAGUCUGUGGUGAAAUCCUCCCGCUCAACGGGAGAACUGCCGUGGAUACUGUGGACCUCGAGGAAGAUAGGGGCGUGCGGGACAGUUGGUGGAGCGGUGAAAUGCGUUGAUAUCAACUGGAACUCCGGUGGCGAAGGCGGCACGCUGGGUCUUUUCUGACGCUGAGGAACGAAAGCUAGGGGAGCAAACGGG